rnacentral:rRNA from 1 species
CCUACGGGCGGCUGCAGUGAGGAAUAUUGGUCAAUGGCCGGAAGGCUGAACCAGCCAAGUCGCGUGAGGGAAUAAGGCCCUAUGGGUCGUAAACCUCUUUUGUCAGGGAGCAAAGGCGUCCACGUGUGGACGAGAGGAGCGUCCCUGAAGAAAAAGCCUCGGCUAACUCCGUGCAAGCAGCCGCGGUAAUCCGGAGGAUGCGAGCGUUAUCCGGAUUUUUUGGGUUUAAAGGGUGCGUAGGCGGAGUGUUAAGUCAGCGGUAAAAGUUCGGGGCUCAACCCCGGCGUGCCGUUGAAACUGACGCUCUUGAGUGAGGGAGAAGCAAGCGGAAUGCGUGGUGUAGCGGUGAAAUGCAUAGAUAUCACGCAGAACGCCGAUUGCGAAGGCAGCUUACCGGCGAUCAACUGACGCUGAGGCACGAAAGUGCGGGUAUCGAACAGGAUUAGAGACCCGAGUAGGC